CCAAGGCGGGUGCUGUGGCUCCCGGGCAGCCUGGGGGCCGAGUGCGGCUCCCCACCGCCGACCUCUGGCACCUGGUCCUGCUUGUGAGUGACUAAGCGGUUUCUCCUCCGAGGUAGCUGUCUGCCAGGAGGCCCCACUGGCCGUGGAACUGCACCAGGAUGCCCAGAGCUGCACGCGCAAAACCCGUAAUUAGCGAGUCCCCUUCUUGGGAAAGAAAACCCCUCCAUGUUUUGUUUUGUUUUAUUUUCCCCUUAAAUGAAACAAAUCCACCCACGCAGUUACUGGAAACGCAAGCAUGUGAAACUGAGCCGUUUGCAGAGAGAAUUAGUCAGCAACCUUGUGCGCAGGGCGCUCUGGGAGGCGGGCCGCCCUGGCCCCUGAGGCUCCCCAGCCCGGAGGGGGACCAGGUGACUCUGACUUCCCAAAGGCCCACAGUGUCCUCCCAAGGCCAGGCGAUGCCCCGGCAGGGGGUCACGUUUAGGGCACCCGGUGCCCAGGGCCAAUUACCUGGCAGCGGAUGGAGGGCUGCAGAGCGAAGGAGAGGCCUGAAGCCCUGGCUUGGAAUCAACCUCACCUUCGCAUCGCACCCCAUGAGGAGCUGGACCUCAGCCACUUGCCACUGGAAAUACCCACCGGAAGCAUCCCUUGGGGAGGCUGGCCUUGGACUUGCAGUGAUCCUCCUGCCUCGGCCUCUCAAGUGCUGGGAUUACAGAUGUGCGCUACCACACCCACGGCCUGUAUUUUAAAGACUUCAGUUUCCCAUCUGUACAAUGGGCCCAGUAGCUGCCUGGGACAGGGUUGUGGGCAGCAGUGCACACUGGAGCCUGGAAAAGUCAAGGGCUCCGUAAACAUCGGGCAGCUCACCACCCACCCCUGUGACCUUGGGGCUGGCUCUGGGCCACCUUACCCCUGGUCACCUCUCUCCACCCCUCCGUGCAGCCCAAAUUCCCCAGGAGCAGCUUUCUCACCCAAGUCACCGAGUCCACAUGCCAUCCUCCCGGCCUCCCAAGGUGGCCGUCCAGGAAACACCUUGGAUGGAGACCUGCACUUCUGGCCCUUGGGAGAACUGUCCUCCACCAACCUGUCCCCACCCACAGGAGGAGAAAGGAACCCCAGCGGGCAUCAGUGGCUGCCUUGAUGUAUGCAUGGCCUGAAGACCAUCAGCACGGACAUUUACAGCAGGCCAGCCACGUGGUGUUUAAACUACACCGCAAAGCGGAUCCAGCAUUAGCCCCCGCGGUCUACACCCAGGAAGAUGGCACCGCAUCCAGUGAGCUCAGGCAGACCCGCUUUGUCCUAUAAAAGUUCAGAGGGAAAGAGAGGGCUAGGCACAAGUUACACCAAGACAAAAGCUCUGUCCUCUGAAGGCUCCUGUAUUUCAAGGCUUAGGGACCAGCUUUGGCAAUAUGGAAACUUAGCCCCAUUUUCUACUUUGCCUAACUAAGCUCACUGAAUUUAUCUGGUGAGGGCUGAGGCCCGGCUCAGCACCACACAGAAAGCGCCGUUUCCCCAGGGAUGUUCCAAACCAUCUCUCCAGAAAGAAAAGGGAGAGCACAGCCCAUGUCCCCCAGACACGGCAGGUGAGGCCACUUUUCACACCCGACACCUGGUGGCUCUCAGAAGCAUCCUAGGGGUUUCCUGCUGGACCCUGGUCCUGGGGACUUUCCUCUGUUCCUCACAGUUACCGCAAGCAUUUCUGGGAGUCGGCAGAGGCGGGCAGGUGGGAGAAGGCCGCUCACACUGGGCCCCAAGUUAAAUCCCAUAUGGAACCUUGCUCCCAAGGCCCCCGAACAAAAGUAGCCCCGUGUGGUCUGUCUUCCCUUCUUCCCCUCUCUGGCGGCCCUGAGGUCCUGCAGAAACGAGAGGGGGUCCCGGGGGCAGCUCUGGGGCAGCUCAGUAGCAGCCUCCACCCCCAGCACAAGAUCCACCUGACCUUUUCUAGGACUCAAAUCAUUUCUAAGCAGGAUGGGUCUUUCCACCCACAUGAAAGAAACGAGGGAAUGAGCAGAGACGGCUGAUGCCGCUGAUUGGGGCCUGGGAUUCACCCUAUCAGUCUCUGCUCUUGUCUGUGUCUGAAAUUUUCCAUCAUAAAAUACACAGACUGUGAACAGGGGCCAACCUCAGCUGCGGCGAGACACAUUAGGGGAAGAAAGAGACCUAGUCAUGGCGCGGCCCCGGUCCAGACGAGCCUCCGGGCGGCCCUGUCUGGGUACCUCGGCGGCCCAGGCACCAUGACAGCCGGGACAGAGCCGCCAUUCAGCGGCUGAAAGACGAAGGAAUUUUUGAAAAGAGAGAAGAAACCUUUAUCCCGAGCCAUCUGUCCAGACAGCCCUGCGUGUGGCCUGGUGGGAAGACAAGCACUGAGGGUCAAUGGAGGGCAAGAGACGGGACGGGGAGGAGGACCCAGCCACGGAGGAGGACGCGGCCACGGAGGAGGACCCGGCCACCCAGCACGCGCUGGCUUCACAGUUCUCCAGAUGAGGCGGUGUUUGGAAAGGAACCUUGACACUUAGGUAUCACUCGGCGGGCGAUGACAAUAAAGCAUUUUCACAGCUUCUCAAA